rnacentral:rRNA from 1 species
GACAGAGGGUGCAAACGUUGUUCGGAAUACUGGGCGUAAAGCGUGUGUAGGCGGCUACAUAAGUCGGAUGUGAAAGCCCCGGGCUCAACCCCGGGGAAGUGCACUCGAUACUGCGUAGCUUGAGUCUCGGAGAGGUUGGUGGAAUUCUCGGUGUAGAGGUGAAAUUCGUAGAUAUCGAGAGGAACACCGGUGGCGAAGGCGGCCAACUGGACGAAGACUGACGCUGAGACACGAAAGCGUGGGGAGCAAACAGG